GACGAACGCUGGCGGCGUGCCUAAUACAUGCAAGUAGAACGCUGAAGAGAGGAGCUUACUCUUCUUGGAUGAGUUGCGAACGGGUGAGUAACGCGUAGGUAACCUGCCUUGUAGCGGGGGAUAACUAUUGGAAACGAUAGCUAAUACCGCAUAACAAUGGAUGACACAUGUCAUUUAUUUGAAAGGGGCAAUUGCUCCACUACAAGAUGGACCUGCGUUGUAUUAGCUAGUAGGUGAGGUAAUGGCUCACCUAGGCGACGAUACAUAGCCGACCUGAGAGGGUGAUCGGCCACACUGGGAAUGAGAAACGGCCCAGACUCCUACGGGAGGCAGCAGUAGGGAAUCUUCGGCAAUGGGGGCAACCCUGACCGAGCAACGCCGCGUGAGUGAAGAAGGUUUUCGGAUCGUAAAGCUCUGUUGUAAGUCAAGAACGGGUGUGAGAGUGGAAAGUUCACACUGUGACGGUAGCUUACCAGAAAGGGACGGCUAACUACGUG
rnacentral:rRNA from 1 species